UACGUAGGGGGCUAGCGUUGUCCGGAAUCAUUGGGCGUAAAGAGCGCGUAGGCGGCUAGAUAAGUCCGGUGUGAAAGUCACAGGCUCAACCUGUGAAUGCCGCUGGAAACUGUCUGGCUAGAGUCCGGAAGGGGCGAGUGGAAUUCCUGGUGUAGCGGUGAAAUGCGCAGAUAUCAGGAGGAACACCAGUGGCGAAGGCGGUGCUCUGGGCCGGAACUGACGCUGAGGAGCGAAAGCGUGGGGAGCAAACAGG
rnacentral:rRNA from 1 species